AUAACUAGUGAAAAAAAAAUUUGAAAUUAUAUUUUGUAGAAAAGGAAAUUAAAUGAAAAAAAUCAAUAAAAAUUAAAUUAAAUCUUCAGUUGUUAAGAGGAAGUCAAGCUCUUUGGAUCAUUUUCCUCUGAAUGGAGGGUGUGCUUCUGAAGACUUUUUCUUCAGGAUUCUCUCUUUAGAGAGGUCUCUUAAUAGACUCAAGUUCAAUAUAAUUUUAUUUCUCCUUGGCCCUUCUAUUUGGGGAUUUGGAUCUGGAGAGUGAGACACCUUCUUAAUAGUAACUCAACAACAAAGUUAUAAAAGCUACGGCGUUGUGUUUGGGGUUCACAACUCAAUACGUCCCCCGUUGUAUAAGAAAACUGUUAUUUUGCGUGUUCUCAUUCGAAGGCUUUAACUCUCUAGAA
rnacentral:lncRNA from 1 species